rnacentral:rRNA from 1 species
GUACACUCCUGCGGGAGGCAGCAGUGGGGAAUUUUGGACAAUGGGCGAAAGCCUGAUCCAGCAAUGCCGCGUGAGUGAAGAAGGCCUUCGGGUUGUAAAGCUCUUUUGUCAGGGAAGAAACGGUGAAAGCUAAUAUCUUUUGCUAAUGACGGUACCUGAAGAAUAAGCACCGGCUAACUACGUGCCAGCCGCCGCGGUAAUACGUAGGGUGCAAGCGUUAAUCGGAAUUACUGGGCGUAAAGCGUGCGCAGGCGGUUUUGUAAGUCUGAUGUGAAAUCCCCGGGCUCAACCUGGGAAUUGCAUUGGAGACUGCAAGGCUAGAAUCUGGCAGAGGGGGGUAGAAUUCCACGUGUAGCAGUGAAAUGCGUAGAUAUGUGGAGGAACACCGAUGGCGAAGGCAGCCCCCUGGGUCAAGAUUGACGCUCAUGCACGAAAGCGUGGGGAGCAAACAGGAUUAGAAACCCGGGUAGUCCCAUGAU